rnacentral:rRNA from 1 species
UUGACGAACGCUGGCGGCGUGCCUAAUACAUGCAAGUAGAACGCUGAAGAGAGGAGCUUGCUCUUCUUGGAUGAGUUGCGAACGGGUGAGUAACGCGUAGGUAACCUGCCUUGUAGCGGGGGAUAACUAUUGGAAACGAUAGCUAAUACCGCAUAACAAUGGAUGACACAUGUCAUUUAUUUGAAAGGGGCAAAUGCUCCACUACAAGAUGGACCUGCGUUGUAUUAGCUAGUAGGUGAGGUAACGGCUCACCUAGGCGACGAUACAUAGCCGACCUGAGAGGGUGAUCGGCCACACUGGGACUGAGACACGGCCCAGACUCCUACGGGAGGCAGCAGUAGGGAAUCUUCGGCAAUGGGGGCAACCCUGACCGAGCAACGCCGCGUGAGUGAAGAAGGUUUUCGGAUCGUAAAGCUCUGUUGUAAGUCAAGAACGAGUGUGAGAGUGGAAAGUUCACACUGUGACGGUAGCUUACCAGAAAGGGACGGCUAACUACGUGCCAGCAGCCGCGGUAAUACGUAGGUCCCGAGCGUUGUCCGGAUUUAUUGGGCGUAAAGCGAGCGCAGGCGGUUUGAUAAGUCUGAAGUUAAAGGCUGUGGCUCAACCAUAGUUCGCUUUGGAAACUGUCAAACUUGAGUGCAGAAGGGGAGAGUGGAAUUCCAUGUGUAGCGGUGAAAUGCGUAGAUAUAUGGAGGAACACCGGUGGCGAAAGCGGCUCUCUGGUCUGUAACUGACGCUGAGGCUCGAAAGCGUGGGGAGCGAACAGGAUUAGAUACCCUGGUAGUCCACGCCGUAAACGAUGAGUGCUAGGUGUUGGAUCCUUUCCGGGAUUCAGUGCCGCAGCUAACGCAUUAAGCACUCCGCCUGGGGAGUACGACCGCAAGGUUGAAACUCAAAGGAAUUGACGGGGGCCCGCACAAGCGGUGGAGCAUGUGGUUUAAUUCGAAGCAACGCGAAGAACCUUACCAGGUCUUGACAUCCCGAUGCUAUUUCUAGAGAUAGAAAGUUACUUCGGUACAUCGGUGACAGGUGGUGCAUGGUUGUCGUCAGCUCGUGUCGUGAGAUGUUGGGUUAAGUCCCGCAACGAGCGCAACCCCUAUUGUUAGUUGCCAUCAUUCAGUUGGGCACUCUAGCGAGACUGCCGGUAAUAAACCGGAGGAAGGUGGGGAUGACGUCAAAUCAUCAUGCCCCUUAUGACCUGGGCUACACACGUGCUACAAUGGUUGGUACAACGAGUUGCGAGUCGGUGACGGCAAGCUAAUCUCUUAAAGCCAAUCUCAGUUCGGAUUGUAGGCUGCAACUCGCCUACAUGAAGUCGGAAUCGCUAGUAAUCGCGGAUCAGCACGCCGCGGUGAAUACGUUCCCGGGCCUUGUACACACCGCCCGUCACACCACGAGAGUUUGUAACACCCGAAGUCGGUGAGGUAACCUUUUGGAGCCAGCCGCCUAAGGUGGGAUAGAU